rnacentral:lncRNA from 1 species
UUUUUUAGCUCACUAAAGAGCAUUUUCGAAAUUUACUCUAAAAUGAUUUGGGGGAGAGUUAAAAGAAAGGAGGCUUAACCGUUUUUCUCAUUCUCUGCAACUCUUCACCUCCCCUUCUCUCUUUGUGUUCCUGUUUUGCUCUUUCCCUCUCUCCAAAAACUAGGGUUUGUGUUUUGCAGCAAUUCUAUGGCCAAAACUCGAGGAGGGUUUACGUUUUCCCACUGGUACACAACCAACUAGGGCUGAAACAGCGGAGAUUGAAACCGAGGACUACAUGAGAGACGCUUGAAUGAAUAAUCGUCUUCUUAUAUGAGAAUAUACCAAUUUGGGGGUUUCAUCGAAGAAAGCUAUGAAGAAAAAUGGGGAACCCACUAAAUUGAAGAAGUAGAAAUCAGUAGAAUCUUCUAUCAUACCCGAUUUAUCACUGCAACCAUCUCCUCCAUCUUCAACCUCUACUUCUAAGGUAUUUGUCACUCCCUUAUCCUUCAGAUCAUCUAAGUAUACACUUCGUUUUCAUUCAUCCAUGGCUAAUAACCAAAUUGUUUACGGAUGACCUGUGGAUACCAUAUUAUUUCAAAAGUGUGGUAUUCUUUCUUUGUUUGAAAAUGUUGGGCUAGGCAAAAUGUUAACUCCAAGCUCUCGUGCUUAUCAUACUUUAAUCAAAUAAUUUUAUAUUAAUAUGUCCAUAAAAUCUGAUAUCAUAGAAACCCUGGUUCAAAAUGUGGUAAUCUCUAUGGAUACAAAUUUACUUGGUAAUCUUUUUAACAUCUGAACUCUUUUUCUUCCCUAAAGUUAUUGAAACCACUCCUACGAAUAUCAUCAUACAUAAAAUUGUUCAUUCCAAUUUGAUUCCUAGGAUUAGUGGUCGUUGUGAUAUGACUUACCAAGAUUUGGUUAUUUUUGCAUUGAUUUUGAAAGGAACUAAAUUUAAUUUUGGUUUAAUAAUGAUAAAACACUUGGAAAGCUGUUUGAAAAAAAAAACAAAUGUUUUCCUUUUGGUGGUUUUAUAACUAAUACUUUGGCUCAUUUCAAAAUUUCCUUUGAUCUUGAGGAAUGUUUUCCUCUUACUGAAAAAAUUGAUAAUACUAUGUGUUUCACAACUCUUGUCUUGGGGUAUCUUAUGAUGGAAAUUUGUUUUGGGAUGUUGAGGCUCAAAAUAAUUCUAUGGAUAAUCUGCUUCAUGGUCUUUCAUCUUCUCCUCCAUCCUCUUCCUUAGGCCCUGCCCCUUCCACAUAUAUUCCUCCUUUUGCUCAUUCCACUUCCGAAUUGUGUUCUCUUUUUCAAUCAAUGAUGACCAAGUUUGAUAGUGUGGUGGAGAAGGUUGAUGAGGCUCUUGAAAAGAUCAACUCAGUCACAGCAAAAGUAAAUGAUAUUGUGGUCCAACAAGGUGUGAUUGAAGCUAAGUUGUUUGUUGUCAACAAGAAGAUCGAUGAAAUUUGCUUUGAAUUAUUUGACAAAGAAUUAAGUUUUAAUCUCUUUUUUGAUAAUGACAAAGGGGGAGUGACUAUGUGAUUAUGAUUUAAAUCAUUGGUCUGGUGUUGCUAUUUUUUGAUACACUUAUGUUUAAUUUUUGGUUAAUACUUUGUUGGUAUUAUAUUGACUAUGAUACUCUGGUUUUUGAAUGCUAACUUGAUUAUGAUAUAUUAUAUUCAAAGAUGAUUAUGGACUGACUAUGUUAUCUAUGUACUAUUCAAUUUAUUUUUGCUUGGACUGACUAUGGUAUCUAUUUACUGUUCAAUUUAUUUUUGCUCUUUAAUAUGCAUAAUCUUAGGGGGAGUAUAUAGUUAGGGUGAGUAAUAUAUUGUCAUCAUCAAAAUGGGGGAGAAUUUUGAUUUAUGUUUUUUAUUUUAAUGAUGACAACAUAUGUUUUGUAUGGAGUUGUUUUGUGAUUCACAGGUUAUGGAAUGCAAGAUAUCAAGUGAGCAUGUAUGAAGAAAAGGUGUUUAGGGUCACCACAUGGUUAGGUCCAUAGGACUUCACUUAAGAAAUCAAAAUGUAAGAAUUUCUAGCUCAUUUAAUUAAUUUCAAGGCAAUUUCAUUGUGCUUGAAAUUAUUUUGAAAAGAGUACUUCAUAUGCUUAAAAGUUUUCUAUCUUAUUAUUUUUGAAAGCUUAGUUCAAAGAGCUAUUAUCUCAUAUUCAAAUAUUGGAAGCUUCUUUUUGGAAACAAAAUCAAUCUUGCUUGUAUUUCUUAGAGCUGAAUUUUCAAAUUUCAAAAAGAUGGGAAGUUAGUUUGGAAACAAAAUCAAUUUCAAAAAUCUCAGCCUUCUUUUAACAAGUCAAAAGUUCUCUGUGUGGCUGAUUUUUUGCUACUAAUCUUUAUAAAGGUUUAUUCCUUAAUUCUAGCAGUUAACUUCAAAAUUCAAAUCCCUCAUAUCUUGGUUUUGCUCAUAUAUCUCUUUUGGGAUUCUUAAGUUAAGGAAUUUGGUUUUCUGACCGUUAGCCUUUAUAUAUAUAUAUAUAUAUAUAUAUAUAUAUAUAUAUAUAUAUAUAUAUAUAUAUAUAUAUAUAUAUCCUCUUGGCUAAAGCUUAUAUAUCCAACGAAUUGUGAAACCAUUCUUAUAUCAGUGCUUCCAUUGAAAAAGUUCUAGCAAAUUGUUUAUGCCUUGAUAUUAAUUUCUUGUUGCUAGAAAUAUAUAGAUAUUGUUAUAAUAUUCUUUAUUAAUUAAAAAGUGUAUAAAAGCUUACUGUGGCUUGUGUUUGAUCCAGUGGUGGAUAGGAUAGUGCAAAGCAGACUUUGAAGGUUGCUGUGGAGCAAAGGUUGCUGUGAAGCAAAAGGUUUUUGUGAAGCAACAAGAGGUAGUGGUGUCCAUCAUUAUCAGAGUUGAUUUAUACAAGGAGUUAUUUGUGUAAUUGCUUAAAUAAUAAAAGAGUCUCAAAUUUUAAUUGGUAUUAGAAGUGGAUUCAGCCAUUAGAGGUUAAGGGUAGAACCACGUAAAAAUAUUGGUGUUCUUAUUUAUUGUUUAUCUUGUUUGCAUUGAUUCAAUUCUUCACUUAAAACACUUUAUAUUCUGCAUUGAUAAAAGAAGUUACUACUUAACAUGUUCUGAAAAUCAGGUAGCAUGUUUUGCAUAUUAGUUUAAAUACUUAAGUAGACAGGUAACCUAUGUGAAUAGUUCAGUUAGCAGAGAUUUUAAAAUUGCCAGUGUUGAUCACUUUCAUCAUAAGCACAUAUCACCCUCCCUCUAGAUGUGCACGCACUUCUUAAUUUCAAAUUCAAUUUAAUCAUAUAGGAUUGCUAAUUGUUGAUUCUUUUAUAUCAUCUCUACAUCUCAAUUAGUACAUCUGAACUGGAUAUCAAUUGGAAUUAUGUGAGAAUCUAUUGAUUAAAUUGCUUGGGUAAAAUUUCGAAUUAUAAAGUGAUGGAAUCCUAGGUGAGUCUAAGAUUUGUGGGCCUCUAUACCAUAGAAAUUAGACAUAGUCCAUGAUGAAUUUAGAAAUUAGAUACAUGUAAUUGCUUUAAUUUUGAAAUGAUUUCAUGUUUGUGAAUCUAGG